CUACGGGCGGCUGCAGUGGGGAAUAUUGCACAAUGGGCGCAAGCCUGAUGCAGCCAUGCCGCGUGUAUGAAGAAGGCCUUCGGGUUGUAAAGUACUUUUAGCGGGGAGGAAGGGAGUAAAGUUAAUACCUUUGCUCAUUGACGUUACCCGCAGAAGAAGCACCGGCUAACUCCGUGCCAGCAGCCGCGGUAAUACGGAGGGUGCAAGCGUUAAUCGGAAUUACUGGGCGUAAAGCGCACGCAGGCGGUUUGUUAAGUCAGAUGUGAAAUCCCCGGGCUCAACCUGGGAACUGCAUCUGAUACUGGCAAGCUUGAGUCUCGUAGAGGGGGGUAGAAUUCCAGGUGUAGCGGUGAAAUGCGUAGAGAUCUGGAGGAAUACCGGUGGCGAAGGCGGCCCCCUGGACGAAGACUGACGCUCAGGUGCGAAAGCGUGGGGAGCAAACAGGAUUAGAUACCCGAGUAGUC
rnacentral:rRNA from 1 species